GCGAGUGUGCUGAAAUCGGCAGACAGGCAUGCUUGAGGGGCAUGUGUUUAAAUAAACGUAGGGGUUCAAAUCCCCUCACUCGCACCA
rnacentral:tRNA from 1 species